rnacentral:rRNA from 1 species
UGGGGAAUAUUGGACAAUGGGCGCAAGCCUGAUCCAGCAAUACCUCGUGUGUGAAGAAGGCCCUAGGGUUGUAAAGCACUUUCAAUUGGGACGAAGAGUGUGUACUUAAUACGUGCAUACUUUGACGGUACCUUUAGAAGAAGCACCGGCUAACUCCGUGCCAGCAGCCGCGGUAAUACGGAGGGUGCAAGCGUUAAUCGGAAUUACUGGGCGUAAAGCGCGCGUAGGUGGUUGUUUAAGUCAGAUGUGAAAGCCCCGGGCUCAACCUGGGAACUGCAUUUGAUACUGGGCAACUAGAGUAUGGUAGAGGGAAGUGGAAUUCCACAUGUAGCGGUGAAAUGCGUAGAGAUGUGGAGGAACACCAGUGGCGAAGGCGACUUCCUGGACCAAUACUGACACUGAGGUGCGAAAGCGUGGGGAGCAAACAGG